rnacentral:rRNA from 1 species
UAUCGGCCGGUUAUCGGAUUCUGGGCGUAAGCGCACGCAGGCGGUUUGUUAAGUCAGAUGUGAAAUCCCCGGGCUCAACCUGGGAACUGCAUCUGAUACUGGCAAGCUUGAGUCUCGUAGAGGGGGGUAGAAUUCCAGGUGUAGCGGUGAAAUGCGUAGAGAUCUGGAGGAAUACCGGUGGCGAAGGCGGCCCCCUGGACGAAGACUGACGCUCAGGUGCGAAAGCGUGGGGAGCAAACAGGAUUAGAUACCCUGGUAGUCCACGCCGUAAACGAUGUCGACUUGGAGGUUGUGCCCUUGAGGCGUGGCUUCCGGAGCUAACGCGUUAAGUCGACCGCCUGGGGAGUACGGCCGCAAGGUUAAAACUCAAAUGAAUUGACGGGGGCCCGCACAAGCGGUGGAGCAUGUGGUUUAAUUCGAUGCAACGCGAAGAACCUUACCUGGUCUUGACAUCCACGGAAGUUUUCAGAGAUGAGAAUGUGCCUUCG